CCUGGACCCCGUCAGCUCCUGGAGCCCGUGGCACCUGCGAGGGCAGCGCCGCCGCUUCCUGGGCUGCUGUGAGCUUUGAAUGAGAGGAUUCGCCUGACGCCCCCAAAGCAACGCCAAACCCGAGGCGGGCCCCCGGGAGUGGACCAUUUUCUCCUGUCUUAGAGGUUGCAGGACCCCAACCCCAAGUAGUACACAUUUGCUGCCAAGUGCCUGUGUUUCCCUUGGUUGCAAAUACUGUUGGCCUCAAUUUUGUCGAGAUGUGAUUCUUCUGAGAGCUUCCAGUUGGUGAGGAAGAC
rnacentral:lncRNA from 1 species